rnacentral:rRNA from 1 species
ACGCUCGACACCUACGGAGGCAGCAGUGGGGAAUAUUGCACAAUGGGGGAAACCCUGAUGCAGCGAUGCCGCGUGAAGGAAGAAGUAUCUCGGUAUGUAAACUUCUAUCAGCAGGGAAGAAAAUGACGGUACCUGACUAAGAAGCCCCGGCUAACUACGUGCCAGCAGCCGCGGUAAUCUGAGCGGCUGGCAAGGC